rnacentral:rRNA from 1 species
UUGUACAGGCAUACUGAAUACCCCAAAAGCACCAGAUCCCAUCUUAUCUUGGAAGCUAAGUAGAGUCAGCUCUUGUUAGUAUUUGGAUGGGAGAACAACAACAUAUAUCAGGUUCUGUAGGGU